rnacentral:tRNA from 1 species
GCCGCGGUAGCUCAAUCGGUAGAGCGCUGGAUUGUCGAUCCAGGAGAUGCCGGUUCAACCCCGGUCCGUGGCGCCA